rnacentral:rRNA from 1 species
GGAAUAUUGGACAAUGGGCGCAAGCCUGAUCCAGCCAUGCCGCGUGCAGGAUGACGGUCCUAUGGAUUGUAAACUGCUUUUGCACAGGAAGAAACAACGCUACGUGUAGCGUCUUGACGGUACUGUGAGAAUAAGGAUCGGCUAACUCCGUGCCAGCAGCCGCGGUAAUACGGAGGAUCCAAGCGUUAUCCGGAAUCAUUGGGUUUAAAGGGUCCGUAGGCGGUUUAGUAAGUCAGUGGUGAAAGCCCAUCGCUCAACGGUGGAACGGCCAUUGAUACUGCUAGACUUGAAUUAUAAGGAAGUAACUAGAAUAUGUAGUGUAGCGGUGAAAUGCUUAGAGAUUACAUGGAAUACCAAUUGCGAAGGCAGGUUACUACUUAUGGAUUGACGCUGAUGGACGAAAGCGUGGGUAGCGAACAGGAUUAGAUACCCCAG